CCUAAUCGCUUCGGUGCUCAGGCUUUAAAACCCUAGCCAGCCUCCAUCUACAGUAUUCGUCGACUUCUGGUCUUCCUCCUCUUUUUCUUCUUCUGUAGUUCGCUGGGACAGAAUGCAAGACCGGCGAUUCUGGGUUUCACUCUUCUCUGGUGUCUUUUUCUUCUCAUCCGUGUUCUCACCCUAGCCUCAAUUUCAUUGACCGGUUUAAAAUUUUAUUUUCGUGAUCUUUGUUGUCGUUUCGAGAUUCUGUCUUUAAGUUGGUUACAGUUAGAAAAAGGGAACGGCUCACUUCUGACUUGAUCAAUACUUUUGGAUUGGUUAAUCACAGUUGACGACCCAUUCAAGUAGGUUAAUAUUUACCGGUUGAAGUUUGAAAUCUGAUGAGGCUAGAGUUGGCUUGCCGCAGCCAUGCCCCUCCUCCAUUCCUUAACCGUUGCUGAUUGUCAGUCUGUUUUGCUCCUUCGGCUAGUUUGAGGAUUUGAUGAUGUGUUCUUGUUGGUUAAACUUGAAAGGGAAAAUGUGUCAGGUGUUUAGGCAGAGAUAUCUGUUGUACGCGCUAAAAUCUAGAAACAGGGAAUUGCUGCGAGCACCCCUGACCAACAAGCCGUGGAGAGGAAACAGACCACCCGACUUGCCUUUAUUGGAAAUUUGAAGAAAGAGAGAAAAAUAGCUGGUGGGGCAUUGUUGAAGAGAGAAAUAAAUUAUUGGUUUUCCCAUAUUAGAUAUGGAGAUAGAUGUGUAGAUGGAUGUUAAUUGUUCCAAUAUUUAUGAAUUUUGACCCAUUGCUUGCUUAGGGCUUCAA